AUAAUAUUAUAAUAUUUAAAAUUCAAGAGUCUAUCCUAAAUUGAGGUAAAUUAUAUGGCCUUCCAAAUACCGUUUCGAUCCCUAACAUCACUGAAGAGACAUUAAUUGUCGAAAUCCGGAUAUGGUGUACACAUUUUUGCACCUCAUGUUUGCGUUAUCUUUACCGCAACUUUAUUGUUUUCUGUUUGAUAUUUAAUUAAUAUGUAAGAUCCAUUUUUACAUCUGGUGAUCAAUUUAUUUGGCAAUCUCCAAUGGCAGACAGCAAGGUUUAAGAACAUCAUUUGUUCGACCUGUUAGUCACAUGUGUUUUGUUAAAAUCAUACUUUUUCACUUUUUGGUCUUUUGAAAAAUGUUGUUUGUGCUGUAUUUAGACCCCUCUACCAAGAAAUUUGUUUUACAUGCACACGUAUGAAAAUUGCGGUUUUUAUCCAACGCAAUCAUAGGUUUGAACGUUGUUUUCAAUUUAGACUUGUUUAUAUAUAUAUAUAUAUAUAUAUAUAUAUAUAUAUAUAUAUAUAAGUACCAUAUGCAGUUUAUAUUUUAAUUCUUUAUAGAAAAGUGCAUGUACUCAAUUUUCAGUAUCGUUAGCCUUUUGCCUUCAUAUUGUGUGCAUUUUUUUUAACUAUGAUAAAAAAAACGAUAAAGAUUCAUGGUUUGUUUUAAACUCUAUGCUCACAUCUAAAUGCGUCGGAUAUCUUUUUUAAAGAUAGUACUUGUUUUAAAUCUUCGCAAUGCACUAUUCAUGGUUUCAUUUUGUAUGACUAUAUUUGGUCAACCAUUUACACUCCUGGAAAUUGAGAUUUUUAAACACUUUUGCACAACUAGGGACUGAUAUGUAGUUACAAAAAAAAUGUAUUAACAUUUCUUUGUACUUUCAAUUUUCUCGCGGAAUUUAUUCCUUCCAAUGCUAAAGUCCUACGUCACUGUCAAUACAAUGAAAUAAAUGUAAACAUUGAGAUUUCAUCUUGUCCUUACCGACUGUGAAGGAAUAUAAACAAGGUAUUUUUAAGUUAUUUAUAGCGAAUGGGUUUUACUUUCAUUUUCUUGGGAAUUUUUUGGUUUAGAAAGCAGCAUUUGUUUUAAUGAGAUAAACCAUGGCGGAGGGAAGACGUAGCGGUAAUGGCAGACGGUCACGAGGAAAAUUUAAUCUAGGUAUCGUAGGACGAUCCAAUAGCGGAAAGUCGUCAUUAAUCAAACUCAUGCUGCAGUCGCAGUUGGGACCGGAGAAUGGCGAUCUUCCUAAGACAGAUUUUCUAGAAUGUACAGAAAAAAGCGAGAAAUUCGAAAUUCCUGGUCGUUCAAUUGUGUUAUGGGAUGUACCUGGAGUAGGAACACAAAACGAGGGUCUAGAGGGGUACGAUGAAAGAAUUGAAAUAGAGAAAUAUGAUGGUUUCGUCGUUUGCUGCGGAGGACCUGUUACUGAGUAUGAACUUGCUUUGAAUAAUCUAAUAGCAAGUCAUGGGCGAAGAUAUAUUUUUGUCAGAACAAAAGUUGACGCUGCUAUUGAAAAUGAAAAGAAGGCACAUCCAUCAACCUUUGACGAAGAGGAAACAUUGCAGAAACUGAGAGAUGGGAUUAACGAAAAACUUUCUGAAAGUGGAGUAACUGAGUUUCUCGUGAGUAAUCGACACCCUGAAAAAUUUGACUUUGAAACGCUAAACUUUAUUGUAUUCGACAAAGGAGCUUUGGCUUCAUAUAUGAAGAGUUGUAUUAAGACAGUGAAAAAUGAAAACAUAAAGAGAAAACAAGUAGAAUCAGAAAUUUAUUCACGGGUCUCCAACAUUUGAAAAAUCCAACUCACGUUUAUCCAACGAAUAUCAAACAAUAGAAUGGCUUGGUGUUUAUAUAGCAAUCAAAAUUGUUCUUUUUAGAAAGUAAUAGUGAGACUUGUAGACAAUGUUUAAUAUAAUUUUCAUAUUAUAUGUUUUAAUAAUAAAUGUCAAAUAUUAAAGGAAUUCAGAAAAAUUCAAAAAUACAUAGGAUAUUUUAUGAAAAUUCGUCUAAUACUGUUCAACUUCCGAUUAUAAUCUAAAAUAAAAAUAUUUAUGACAGCUUGAAAAA